UACGUAGGGGGCAAGCGUUGUCCGGAUUUAUUGGGCGUAAAGAGCGUGUAGGCGGUUCGGUAGGUCCGUUGUGAAAACUCGAGGCUCAACCUCGAGACGCCGAUGGAAACCAUCGAACUAGAGUCCGGAAGAGGAGAGUGGAAUUCCUGGUGUAGCGGUGAAAUGCGCAGAUAUCAGGAAGAACACCCGUGGCUAAGGCGGCUCUCUAGUACGGUACUGACGCUGAGGAGCGAAAGCGUGGGGAGCGAACAGG
rnacentral:rRNA from 1 species